rnacentral:rRNA from 1 species
AAACCAGCACCUCAAGUGGUCAGGAUGAUUAUUGGGCCUAAAGCAUCCGUAGCCGGCUCUGUAAGUUUUCGGUUAAAUCUGUACGCUUAACGUACAGGCUGCUGGGAAUACUGCAGAGCUAGGGAGUGGGAGAGGUAGACGGUACUCGGGAGGAAGUGGUAAAAUGCUUUGAUCUAUUGAUGACCACCAGUGGCGAAGGCGGUCUACCAGAACACGUUCGACGGUGAGGGAUGAAAGCUGGGGGAGCAAACCGGAUUAGAAACCCGGGUAGUCC